GACGAACGCUGGCGGCGUGCCUAAUACAUGCAAGUAGAACGCUGAAGGAGGAGCUUGCUUCUCUGGAUGAGUUGCGAACGGGUGAGUAACGCGUAGGUAACCUGCCUGGUAGCGGGGGAUAACUAUUGGAAACGAUAGCUAAUACCGCAUAAUAGUAGAUGUUGCAUGACAUUUGCCUAAAAGGUGCAAUUGCAUCACUACCAGAUGGACCUGCGUUGUAUUAGCUAGUUGGUGGGGUAACGGCUCACCAAGGCGACGAUACAUAGCCGACCUGUGAGGGUGAUCGGCCACACUGGGACUGAGACACGGCCCAGACUCCUACGGGAGGCAGCAGUAGGGAAUCUUCGGCAAUGGACGGAAGUCUGACCGAGCAACGCCGCGUGAGUGAAGAAGGUUUUCGGAUCGUAAAGCUCUGUUGUAAGAGAAGAACGAGUGUGAGAGUGGAAAGUUCACACUGUGACGGUAUCUUACCAGAAAGGGACGGCUAACUACGUG
rnacentral:rRNA from 1 species